AAUCAACGCUGGCGGCGUGCCUCAGGCAUGCAAGUCGAACGAUUAAACUUUCCUUCGGGAAAGAUAUAAAGUGGCGUACGGGUGAGUAACACGUAAGUAAUCUACCCUCGAGUGGGGAAUAACAAUCGGAAACGAUUGCUAAUACCGCAUAAUGCAGCGGCACCGUAAGAUGGCAGUUGUUAAAGGAUUUAUUCGCUUGAGGAGGAGCUGGCGGCAGAUUAGCUAGUUGGUAAGGUAAUGGCUUACCAAGGCGACGAUCUGUAGCCGGUCUAAGAGGACGGUCGGUCACACUGACACUGAAUAACGGGUCAGACUCCUACGGGAGGCAGCAGUCGGGAAUUUUGGGCAAUGGGCGAAAGCCUGACCCAGCAACGCCGCGUGAAGGAUGAAGUCUUUCGGGAUGUAAACUUCGAGAGAAUAGGAAGAAUAAAUGACGGUACUAUUUAUAAGGUCCGGCUAACUACGUGCCAGCCGCCGCCGUAAAAC
rnacentral:rRNA from 1 species